AGAGCAUACGGUGGAUGCCUUGGCGAUAUCUGCCGACGAAGGACGUGACAAGCUGCGAAAAGCUGCGGAGAGAUGCAAAUAAUCGGCGACCCGCAGACAUCCGAAUGGAGAAAUCCGGCUGUGAUGAUGCACAGCCAUCCAUGCCCAAGAGCAUGAGAAGGGAACCGGGCGAACUGAAACAUCUAAGUAACCCGAGGAAAAGAAAUCAAACGAGAUACCCCAAGUAGCGGCGAGCGAACAGGGAAGAAGCCCAAACCGGUGAAGGAAACUUUGCCGGGGUUGAGGACCAUCAGAUCCGCGAAGAACUUUAGCCGAAACUGUUGGGAAACAGUGCCGAAGACAGUGAAAGCCUGGUAGGCGAAAAAGAGAAACGCGGAGAUGGCACCAGAGUACCGCGGGACACGAGAAAUCCCGUGGGAAACAGGGGGGACCACCCUCCAAGGCAAAACACAGAUAUCGACCGAUAGCGCAUAGUACCAUGAGGGAAAGGUGAAAAGCACCCCGGGAGGGGAAUGAAAGAGAACCUGAAACCGUAUGUUUACAAGCAGUCGGAGACCGCUUAAUAAUAAGGUCGACGGCGUGCCUAUUGAAGAAUGAACCGGCGAGUUACGAAGCCUGGCAAGGUUAAGCAGGAAAUGCGGAGCCGAAGCGAAAGCGAGUCUUAAGAGGGCGCAAGUCAGGAAGCGUAGACCCGAAACCACAGUGAUCUACCCAUGUCCAGGUUGAAACACAGGUAAAAAUGUGUGGAGGACCGAACCUAUAUCCGUUGAAAAGGGUUAGGAUGAGGUGUGGGUAGGGGUGAAAUUCCAAUCGAACGUGGAGAUAGCUGGUUCUCCCCGAAAUAGCUUUAGGGCUAGCCUCAGGGAAAAGAUUGCAGGCGGUAGAGCACUGAUCAGGAGAGGGACCUACCCGGUUACCAAACCCAGUCAAACUCCGAAUGGCUGCAAUCAUACCUGGGAGUCAGACUGCGACUAAUAAGGGCCGCAGUCAAAAGGGAAACAGCCCAGACCAUCAGCUAAGGUCCCCAAUGCCGUGCUAAGUGGAAAAGGAUGUGGCAUUUCAUAAACAACCAGGAUGUUGGCUCAGAAGCAGCCACCAUUUAAAGAGUGCGUAAUAGCUCACUGGUCGAGAGACGCUGCGCCGAAAAUGUCCGGGGCUCAAGCACGGAACCGAAGCUAUGGCAUGAUAGCAAUAUCAUGGGUAGGGGAGCGUUCUUAUAAGGAAGAAGCAUGACCGGAAGGACAUGUGGACAAAUAAGAAGUGAGAAUGCCGGUAUGAGUAUCGAAAAGAAAGGUGAGAAUCCUUUCCACCGAAAGCCCGAGGGUUCCUGAGCAACGAUCGUCGACUCAGGGUAAGUCGGGACCUAAGCCGAGGCGGAAAGCGUAGGCGAUGGACAACAGGUUGAAAUUCCUGUACCGGAUCAAGUCGAUUGAGCGAAGGAGCGACGCAGGAGGGCACAUGAUCGCGCGGCUGGAAGAGCGCGUCCAAGUGCGUAUGUUGCAGCAGAGGAAAACCCCUGCAGCUAAAAGCAGAGACAUGAAGGGGAGUUAAAGGAAACUUUGACGAACUCAUGGAUCCCACACUGCCAAGAAAAACUUCUAGCGAGACAAGAUCCGCCCGUACCGUAAACCGACACAGGUAGGCGGGGAGAGAAUCCUAAGGUGCGCGGGAAAACCCUCGUUAAGGAACUCGGCAAAUUGCAUCCGUAACCUAGGGAGAAGGAUGGCCCCCGGUCAGUGAAGAGCAGAAACGCUCAGAGCUAAAAGGGGCGGCAGAAAAGAGGCCCAAGCAACUGUUUACCAAAAACACAGGUGCCUGCGAAAGCGAAAGCUGAAGUAUAGGUGCUGACGCCUGCCCGGUGCCGGAAGGUUAAGGAGAGAAGUUAGCGAAAGCGAAGCAUCGAACUGAAGCCCCGGUGAACGGCGGCCGUAACUAUAACGGUCCUAAGGUAGCGAAAUUCCUUGUCGGGUAAGUUCCGACCCGCAUGAAAGGCGUAAUGAUUUGGGCACUGUCUCAACGAGGGGCCCGGUGAAAUUGAAAUACCUGUGAAGAUGCAGGUUACCCGCGACUGGACAGAAAGACCCCAUGGAGCUUCACUGCAGCUUGAGAUUGAAUCCCGGUGACAGAUGCACAGGAUAGGUGGGAGGCGCCGAAGCAUUGCCCUAGGGCGGUGCGGAGCCGAUGUUGGGAUACCACCCUUCUGUUGCUGAGAUUCUAACGCGAGGAGUAACGACCCUGCGGACCCUCUCAGGCAGGCGGUUUGACUGGGGCGGUCGCCUCCGAAAGAGU
rnacentral:rRNA from 1 species